CGGGGUGCAGCAGGCGCGAAACCUUUACAAUGCUGGCAACAGCGAUAGGGGGACCUCGAGUGCCAGGUUACAAAUCUGGCUGUCGUUGUGUCUAAAAAACACGAUAUAGCAAGGGCCGGGCAAGACCGGUGCCAGCCGCCGCGGUAACACCGGCGGCUCGAGUGGUAACCGUUAUUAUUGGGUUUAAAGGGUCUGUAGCCGGCCUGGUUAGUCCUUUGGGAAAUCCGGCAGCUCAACUGUCGGGCUUUCAGAGGAUACUGCCAGGCUCGAGACCGGGAGAGGUAAGAGGUACUUCAGGGGUAGGGGUGAAAUCUUGUAAUCCUUGAGGGACCACCAGUGGCGAAGGCGUCUUACCAGAACGGAUCUGACGGCAAGGGACGAAAGCUAGGGGCACGAACCGGAUUAGAUACCCGGGUAGUCCUAGCCGUAAACGAUACUCGCUAGGUGUCGGCCACGGUGCGACCGUGGUCGGUGCCGUAGGGAAACCGUGAAGCGAGCCACCUGGGAAGUACGGCCGCAAGGCUGAAACUUAAAGGAAUUGGCGGGGGAGCACAAGGGCGAAUUCGC
rnacentral:rRNA from 1 species